rnacentral:miRNA from 1 species
AUAGAGAAGAACUGUCUAGAAUGGGUGUUUUGCUGUGUGUGUGUGAAUAUAUGUAUGUGUGUAUAUAUGUAUAUAUACACACACACAUACAUACA